rnacentral:rRNA from 1 species
ACCCCACGAAGCUGGAUUCGCUAGUAAUCGCGCAUCAGCCAUGGCGCGGUGAAUACGUUCCCGGGCCUUGUACACACCGCCCGUCAAGCCAUGAAAGCCGGGGGCGCCUGAAGUCCGUGACCGCGAGGGUCGGCCUAGGGUGAAACCGGUGAUUGGGCUAAGUCGUAACAAGGUAUC